rnacentral:rRNA from 1 species
CCUACGGGGGGCAGCAGUCGAGAAUCAUUCACAAUGGGGGAAACCCUGAUGGUGCGACGCCGCGUGGGGGAAUGAAGGUCUUCGGAUUGUAAACCCCUGUCAUGUGGGAGCAAAUUAAAAAGAUAGUACCACAAGAGGAAGAGACGGCUAACUCUGUGCCAGCAGCCGCGGUAAUACAGAGGUCUCAAGCGUUGUUCAGAAUCACUGGGCGUAAAGCGUGCGUAGGCUGUUUCGUAAGUCGUGUGUGAAAGGUGCGGGCUCAACCCGCGGACGGCACAUGAUACUGCGAGACUAGAGUAAUGGAGGGGGAACCGGAAUUCUCGGUGUAGCAGUGAAAUGCGUAGAUAUCGAGAGGAACACUCGUGGCGAAGGCGGGUUCCUGGACAUUAACUGACGCUGAGGCACGAAGGCCAGGGGAGCGAAAGGGAUUAGAUACCCCGGUAGUC